CAGUCGCCGCGGUAAUACAGAGGGUGCGAGCGUUAAUCGGAUUUACUGGGCGUAAAGCGUGCGUAGGCGGCUUCUUAAGUCGGAUGUGAAAUCCCUGAGCUUAACUUAGGAAUUGCAUUCGAUACUGGGAAGCUAGAGUAUGGGAGAGGAUGGUAGAAUUCCAGGUGUAGCGGUGAAAUGCGUAGAGAUCUGGAGGAAUACCGAUGGCGAAGGCAGCCAUCUGGCCUAAUACUGACGCUGAGGUACGAAAGCAUGGGGAGCAAACAGGAUUAGAUACCGUGUAGUCCCUGUCUCUUAUACC
rnacentral:rRNA from 1 species